GACGUAGGGUGCAAGCGUUGUCCGGAUUUAUUGGGCGUAAAGAGCUCGUAGGCGGCUUGUCGCGUCGUCCGUGAAAACCUGCAGCUCAACUGCAGGCUUGCGGUCGAUACGGGCAGGCUGGAGUUCGGUAGGGAAGACUGGAAUUCCUGGUGUAGCGGUGAAAUGCGCAGAUAUCAGGAGGAACACCGGUGGCGAAGGCGGAUCUCUGGGCCUGUCCUGACGUUCAGGCGCGAAAGUGUGGGGAGCGAACAGG
rnacentral:rRNA from 1 species